rnacentral:sRNA from 1 species
CUGCUAGUCCUGGAAACUGUGAAACUGUAUACCUACAAAACAGGUACUGCAUGGGGUGUGGAAGUGUAAUCUUAUCCCACGCCGCGGAGUCUGUGCCUCAGGCUGGAUCCGGAGUGACAGCUUGGUCUUGGGCUUCCCACCACCUUUUAAACCAGCAAAAUG